rnacentral:rRNA from 1 species
GACGAACGCUGGCGGCGUGCCUAAUACAUGCAAGUCGAGCGGACUUUCAAGAAGCUUGCUUUUUGAAAGUUAGCGGCGGACGGGUGAGUAACACGUGGGCAACCUGCCUGCAAGACGGGGAUAACUCCGGGAAACCGGGGCUAAUACCGGAUAAUAUCUUCCUUCGCAUGAAGGAAGGUUGAAAGGCGGCGCAAGCUGCCGCUUGCAGAUGGGCCCGCGGCGCAUUAGCUAGUUGGUGAGGUAACGGCUCACCCAGGCGACGAUGCGUAGCCGACCUGAGAGGGUGAUCGGCCACACUGGGACUGAGACACGGCCCAGACUCCUACGGGAGGCAGCAGUAGGGAAUCUUCCGCAAUGGACGAAAGUCUGACGGAGCAACGCCGCGUGAGCGAAGAAGGUCUUCGGAUCGUAAAGCUCUGUUGUCAGGGAAGAACAAGUACCGUUCGAACAGGGCGGUACCUUGACGGUACCUGACCAGAAAGCCACGGCUAACUACGUG